UCAGCAUCAAGAGAACGAGAAAUCAUUAAAGCAUUUUCAGGUGUUUGAUAAUCAAUCAUCAACUCGUAAACAAAAGGUGAUUCAUUCAUCAAAUAAGAACAGGAGAAAAAAAAAAAAACU
rnacentral:ribozyme from 1 species